AUUGAACGCUAGCGGGAUGCUUUACACAUGCAAGUCGAACGAGUGGCGGACGGGUGAGUAAUAUAUCGGAACGUGCCCAGUAGCGGGGGAUAACUACUCGAAAGAGUGGCUAAUACCGAAUACUAUUGGAGCGGCCGUUGUCGGAUUAGCUAGUUGGUGGGGGAAAGGCUCACCAGGGCAACGAUCCGUAGCUGGUUUGAGAGGACGACCAGCUACACUGGGGCUGAGACACGGCCCAGACUCCUACGGGAGGCAGCAGUGGGGAAUUUGGGACAAUGGUGGAAACCCUGGUCCAGCCAUCCCGCGUGUAUGAGAAGGCCCUAGGUUUGGAAAGUACUUUCAGUCGUGAGGCGUUACCGACAGAAGAAGCACCGGCUAACUCCGUGCCAGCAGCCGCGGUAAUAC
rnacentral:rRNA from 1 species